rnacentral:rRNA from 1 species
GCCAGACUCCUACGGGAGGCAGCAGUGAGGAAUAUUGGUCAAUGGGCGGGAGCCUGAACCAGCCAAGUCGCGUGAGGGAUGACGGCCCUAUGGGUUGUAAACCUCUUUUGCCGGGGAGCAAAGUGCCGCACGUGUGCGGUUUGGAGAGUACCCGGAGAAAAAGCAUCGGCUAACUACGUGCCAGCAGCCGCGGUAAUACGUAGGGGGCAAGCGUUAUCCGGAUUUACUGGGUGUAAAGGGAGCGUAGACGGCAGCACAAGUCUGGAGUGAAAUGCCGGGGCUUAACCCCGGAACUGCUUUGGAAACUGUGCAGCUAGAGUGCAGGAGAGGUAAGUGGAAUUCCUAGUGUAGCGGUGAAAUGCGUAGAUAUUAGGAGGAACACCAGUGGCGAAGGCGGCUUACUGGACGAUGACUGACGCUGAGGCUCGAAAGCGUGGGGAGCAAACAGGAUUAGAUACCCCCGUA